rnacentral:rRNA from 1 species
UUUAAAUUGAGAGUUUGAUCCUGGCUCAGGACGAACGCUGGCGGCGUGCCUAACACAUGCAAGUCGAGCGAUGAAACUUCCUUCGGGAAGUGGAUUAGCGGCGGACGGGUGAGUAACACGUGGGUAACCUGCCUCAAAGAGUGGGAUAGCCUUCCGAAAGGGAGAUUAAUACCGCAUAACAUUAUUUUAUGGCAUCAUAAAAUAAUCAAAGGAGCAAUCCGCUUUGAGAUGGACCCGCGGCGCAUUAGCUAGUUGGUGAGGUAACGGCUCACCAAGGCAACGAUGCGUAGCCGACCUGAGAGGGUGAUCGGCCACAUUGGAACUGAGACACGGUCCAGACUCCUACGGGAGGCAGCAGUGGGGAAUAUUGCGCAAUGGGGGAAACCCUGACGCAGCAACGCCGCGUGAGUGAUGAAGGUUUUCGGAUCGUAAAACUCUGUCUUUAGGGACGAUAAUGACGGUACCUAAGGAGGAAGCCACGGCUAACUACGUGCCAGCAGCCGCGGUAAUACGUAGGUGGCAAGCGUUGUCCGGAUUUACUGGGCGUAAAGAGUAUGUAGGUGGGUGCUUAAGUCAGAUGUGAAAUUCCCGGGCUCAACCUGGGAGCUGCAUUUGAAACUGGGCAUCUAGAGUGCAGGAGAGGAAAGUGGAAUUCCUAGUGUAGCGGUGAAAUGCGUAGAGAUUAGGAAGAACACCAGUGGCGAAGGCGACUUUCUGGACUGUAACUGACACUGAGAUACGAAAGCGUGGGUAGCAAACAGGAUUAGAUACCCUGGUAGUCCACGCCGUAAACGAUGAAUACUAGGUGUCGGGGGGUACCACCCUCGGUGCCGCAGCAAACGCAUUAAGUAUUCCGCCUGGGGAGUACGGUCGCAAGAUUAAAACUCAAAGGAAUUGACGGGGACCCGCACAAGCAGCGGAGCAUGUGGUUUAAUUCGAAGCAACGCGAAGAACCUUACCUAGACUUGACAUCUCCUGAAUUACUCUUAAUCGAGGAAGUCCCUUCGGGGACAGGAAGACAGGUGGUGCAUGGUUGUCGUCAGCUCGUGUCGUGAGAUGUUGGGUUAAGUCCCGCAACGAGCGCAACCCUUAUUGUUAGUUGCUACUAUUAAGUUAAGCACUCUAACGAGACUGCCGCGGUUAACGUGGAGGAAGGUGGGGAUGACGUCAAAUCAUCAUGCCCCUUAUGUCUAGGGCUACACACGUGCUACAAUGGCUGGUACAA